CCCUGAACGUUAGUGGCGGAUUGUACAAACGCAGGGUCUGCUUUUGUGGUUGUUAGCCACUGGUCCCUUGUGAUCAUUAACAGGGUACAUAGCUGGACAAUUACGUAGUAUAACUGGUGUAUUGGUGUGCAGAACUGAUAUUGCAGCCUGCAGUUGGUAAAGAGUACUAGACUGACAGUCCGUGGAUAAGGAAAGCAAUAUGGCAGCUAUAGAAACUUUAUUUGAAGUAUUCUCUUUCUACCAAAUGUCUUAUUCUAAAAAAGAUCUCCACUUAAUGCACCUUGAAUAUUCUCUUUCAGCAAGAGAAGGAGGAACAGCACCAGAUCGCUAUCUCGGCCUACCAGAAGAACUCCCGGAAGGAACACCAGCGCAUCCUCGCCCGUCGCCAGACUAUAAAAGAGCGUAAGGAACGCCUGGAGAACCUGAACAUCCAGCGAGAGAAAGAAGAGAUGGAGCAAAAGGAAGCGGAGCUACAGAAAGUGCGCAAAGCCGAGGAGGAGAGGCUGCGCCAAGAGGCCAAAGGGAGGGAGAAGGAGCGCAUUUUGCAGGAGCACGAGCAAAUCAAAAAGAAAACCGUGCGAGAGCGGCUGGAGCAGAUCAAAAAGACUGAGCUUGGUGCUAAACUUUUAAGAACAUUGAUAUAGAAAAUCUUGAAGAACUGGAUCCAGACUUCAUUAUGGCUAAACAGGUGGAGCAGUUGGAGAAGGAAAAGAAAGA